rnacentral:lncRNA from 1 species
AAGGUGUCUGGCUGGCUAUAUUGGAGACUCCAUCAGAGGCGCACCCCGAUUCUGCCAGCCGUGCCCCUGUCCCUUACCUCACCUGGCCAACUUUGCAGAAUCCUGCUUCAGGAAAAACGGAGCUGUUCGGUGUAUGUGUAAAGAAAACUAUGCUGGGCCUAACUGUGAAAGAUGUGCUCCUGGUUACUAUGGAAACCCCCUACUCAUCGGAAGCACCUGUAAGAAAUGUGACUGCAGUGGCAAUUCGGAUCCCAACCUCAUCUUUGAAGACUGUGAUGAAAUCACUGGCCAGUGCAGGAACUGCUUACGAAAUACCACCGGGUUCAAGUGUGAACGCUGUGCUCCUGGCUAUUACGGGGAUGCCAGGAUCGCCAAGAACUGUGCAGUGUGCAACUGUGGGGGCGGCCCAUGUGACAGCGUAACCGGAGAGUGCUUGGAAGAA